CACAUAAAUGUAAAACACCUUGAGUACGCCCGAUCUAGUCAGAUCUCGGAAGCUAAGCAGGGUGGGCCUGGUUAAUACUUGGAUGGGGGGGCGGCCCGGUAGUUAGUGCGU
rnacentral:rRNA from 1 species